rnacentral:misc_RNA from 1 species
GAUGAAGAACGCAGCGAAAUGCGAUAAGUAAUGUGAAUUGCAGAAUUCAGUGAAUCAUCGAAUCUUUGAACGCACAUUACGCCCCCUGGUAUUCCGGGGGGCAUGCCUGUUCGAGCGUCAUUUCACCACUCAAGCCUCGCUUGGUAUUGGGCAACGCGGUCCGCCGCGUGCCUCAAAUCGACCGGCUGGGUCUUCUGUCCCCUAAGCGUUGUGGAAACUAUUCGCUAAAGGGUGUUCGGGAGGCUACGCCGUAAAACAACCCCAUUUCUAAGGUUGACCUCGGAUCAGGUAGGGAUACCCGCUGAACUUAAGCAUAUCAAUAAGCGGAGGA